AUAUUCACAUGGUUUAGAUAAAUUAAACUGUUAUUUCUCUGUCUGACUCUACGCAGCCAUUUGCCAAAAAACCUAAAUAAGAUAUUUUUCCCAUUUUAUUUCCCCUUUGUUCGUUAUUUGGUUCAGUUUAAUCAGAGCUACCUUGUGUUACGUUGUUCCCUUGUUAGUUUGGUAUAAAGUUAAACUGCUAGCUAAAAGUUUUAACCAAGAAGGAUAAUAUUAACAGGAGAUAUGAAUGAAUGUAAGAAUUGAACCAUGAUAAAACGCGACAUGCACUACAAAUUGAAGAUGCUAGUUUGGUGAAAGUACACACUGAGUGCUUCAAAUCAUUCAGAAGAGAUGCUGUUUUUAGGGCAGUUUAUUAAAGAAGACCUGACAUGGAUGACUUCCAAUGAGAAACGACUGCUAAUACUUAUAUAAAUUCAUUACAGAAGGACCCUACCAGACUAUAUUUGAAUACGGCAUACCCAUGAAUUCUGGAACUGUUAUUUCUUAACCCAGUUUGGAGGAUAAGAGCUUACCAACUAGUUAUAAAUAUGCUGAGGUGAUGUAUUGCAAAAUAGCCAACAUACAACAAUUAAAGGAUAAUUGCAGCCUAUAUCCUGAUGAAGAUAUGGAUGACCCUCUGUCUGGUCAACAGGAGUUUAAAUAUGGACGGGACAGUUAUGUGGCAGCUCUUCCCUGACUCAUUCACCUCUUGCCUUCAUUUGUGAAAGGAGGAAAGACUGGAGAGGGUCAAUGUGCAACUGAAGCUACUGAUUGUGCUGUGUAAGUUUUUUUGGUAUUUUGUUCUAGUUAUUUAUUCAGCAGUUAGUUUGCUUGCAUUGUUCACCCCAUGUAAAUGCAUACAAGUUCAUAAAUACACAUCAAAUACAUUCAUCAAAUACACUCUUUUAAAACACUCUUAGGUGAUGAGCAUCAAUCCAUGCUUUAAAGGGGAUGAAUCAGCACAGCCCUGCCUGCUCUGCGUUGGGAACAAAAGUUGCAUCCAGAAUUUUUGCAUCAUUCUGGACCAAAAAGCCAUUCCCUCCAUGAUGAAGACCACUGAUGCAGCCUUCCACUACUGUACAGUAAAACAACUACAGAACUUAAUACCAGGUUGGAACGUAUUUAAGAAAAAUGAAACGUCUUUUGAAUUGAAAUGUCUGUUUUGUUAUGGAAAAAUCUUUAGUAUUGUGAAGGAUAAGCAUUUCUGCUUGCCGAUAAGGUAAUUGCAUGUAUUUUAAUGUUUAAGUUUUGAGUAGGGUGGCUAAUUUUUUUUAACUCUGAUUUAUUAAAGACCUUUAUAAUAAGUGGUUUUCAUGUCACUGCACUGUGGUAUAAG